GACGAACGCUGGCGGCGUGCUUAACACAUGCAAGUCGAACGGAAAGGCCCUGCUUUUGCGGGGUGCUCGAGUGGCGAACGGGUGAGUAACACGUGAGUAACCUGCCCUUGACUUUGGGAUAACUUCAGGAAACUGGGGCUCAUACCGGAUAGGAGCUCCUGCUGCAUGGUGGGGGUUGGAAAGUUUCGGCGGUUGGGGAUGGACUCGCGGCUUAUCAGCUUGUUGGUGGGGUAGUGGCUUACCAAGGGUUUGACGGGUAGCCGGCCUGGGAGGGUGACCGGGGACAUUGGGACUGAGAUACGGCCCAGACUGCUACGGGCGGCAGAAGUGGGGAAUAUUGCACAGUGGGCGGAAGCCUGAUGCAGCAACGCCGCGUGCGGGAUGACGGCCUUCGGGUUGUAAACCGCUGUCGCCUGUGACGAAGCGUGAGUGACGGUAAUGGGUAAAGAAGCACCGGCUAACUACGUG
rnacentral:rRNA from 1 species